ensembl:lncRNA
GAGGUGUUUCUGCUCAUGGAGCUGCAUGAAUGAAGAUCAGUGUCCACAUGUCUGCUGACCCCAACCAGGUAGUGGGUUAACCAGCAGGUAGAGGGUUCACCAGCAGGUAGUGGGUUAACCAGCAGGUAGAGGGUUCACCAGCAGGUAGAGGGUUCACCAGCAGGUAGAGGGUUAACCAGAAGGUAGAGGGUUAACCAGCAGGUAGUGGGUUAACCAGCAGGUAGAGGGUUCACCAGCAGGUAGAGGGUUAACCAGCAGGUAGAGGGUUCACCAGCAGGUAGAGGGUUAACCAGAAGGUAGAGGGUUAAC